UCAAGUAGAAUAAGGAACAUGGAAACUUCACAGAACUGGACAAACACAGUUUGUAAAGGCCACACAUGUCCUCUGGUUUGGGGUGAAGAAUGGUGCCCAGUGAAAAAUGACGUGACCCCCUUGAGAUCAAUGACUACAAGAGCACAUGGAUAAUUCACCUGGUGUUUUUAACAAGUCAACAGUAUAUAAAGAAAAGUGCAGAUGAAUCAUGCAGAAGCAGAGCGAGCCCUUGAAUAUAUUUGGUGUAUGGGUUAGCUUACUUAA